ensembl:misc_RNA
CUGACAACAUGGGAAACUGAAGUCCUCUCUCUAUCCCCAGAACAGGCAGGGGCAGUGCAAGCUAUCCUAUACCGCACACACCAAUAUGCCUCAACUGGAUCUGCAUGGGCCACCUUUAGGGAUGACAGAAGAGUUCUGUCUUCAUGAAUCUUUCGAUCUGAGACUGAU